rnacentral:rRNA from 1 species
UAGAGUUUGAUCCUGGCUCAGGAUGAACGCCGGCGGCGUGCCUAAUACAUGCAAGUCGAACGCUUUGUGGUUCAACUGAUUUGAAGAGCUUGCUCAGAUAUGACGAUGGACAUUGCAAAGAGUGGCGAACGGGUGAGUAACACGUGGGAAACCUACCUCUUAGCAGGGGAUAACAUUUGGAAACAGAUGCUAAUACCGUAUAACAAUGACAACCGCAUGGUUGUUAUUUAAAAGAUGGUUCUGCUAUCACUAAGAGAUGGUCCCGCGGUGCAUUAGCUAGUUGGUAAGGUAAUGGCUUACCAAGGCGAUGAUGCAUAGCCGAGUUGAGAGACUGAUCGGCCACAAUGGGACUGAGACACGGCCCAUACUCCUACGGGAGGCAGCAGUAGGGAAUCUUCCACAAUGGGCGGAAGCCUGAUGGAGCAACGCCGCGUGUGUGAUGAAGGGUUUCGGCUCGUAAAACACUGUUGUAAGAGAAGAAUGACAUUGAGAGUAACUGUUCAAUGUGUGACGGUAUCUUACCAGAAAGGAACGGCUAAAUACGUGCCAGCAGCCGCGGUAAUACGUAUGUUCCAAGCGUUAUCCGGAUUUAUUGGGCGUAAAGCGAGCGCAGACGGUUAUUUAAGUCUGAAGUGAAAGCCCUCAGCUCAACUGAGGAAUUGCUUUGGAAACUGGAUGACUUGAGUGCAGUAGAGGAAAGUGGAACUCCAUGUGUAGCGGUGAAAUGCGUAGAUAUAUGGAAGAACACCAGUGGCGAAGGCGGCUUUCUGGACUGUAACUGACGUUGAGGCUCGAAAGUGUGGGUAGCAAACAGGAUUAGAUACCCUGGUAGUCCACACCGUAAACGAUGAGUGCUAGGUGUUUGAGGGUUUCCGCCCUUAAGUGCCGCAGCUAACGCAUUAAGCACUCCGCCUGGGGAGUACGACCGCAAGGUUGAAACUCAAAGGAAUUGACGGGGACCCGCACAAGCGGUGGAGCAUGUGGUUUAAUUCGAAGCAACGCGAAGAACCUUACCAGGUCUUGACAUCCCUUGACAACUCCAGAGAUGGAGCGUUCCCCUCGGGGACAAGGUGACAGGUGGUGCAUGGUUGUCGUCAGCUCGUGUCGUGAGAUGUUGGGUUAAGUCCCGCAACGAGCGCAACCCUUAUUACUAGUUGCCAGCAUUUAGUUGGGCACUCUAGUGAGACUGCCGGUGACAAACCGGAGGAAGGUGGGGAUGACGUCAAAUCAUCAUGCCCCUUAUGACCUGGGCUACACACGUGCUACAAUGGCGUAUACAACGAGUUGCCAACCCGCGAGGGUGAGCUAAUCUCUUAAAGUACGUCUCAGUUCGGAUUGUAGGCUGCAACUCGCCUACAUGAAGUCGGAAUCGCUAGUAAUCGCGGAUCAGCACGCCGCGGUGAAUACGUUCCCGGGUCUUGUACACACCGCCCGUCACACCAUGAGAGUUUGUAACACCCAAAGCCGGUGGGGUAACCUUCGGGAGCCAGCCGUCUAAGGUGGGACAGAUGAUUAGGG